CCUACGGGCGGCAGCAGUGGGGAAUAUUGCACAAUGGGGGAAACCCUGAUGCAGCGACGCCGCGUGAGCGAUGAAGGAUUUCGGUAUGGAAAGCCCUAUCAGCAGGGAAGAAAAUGACGGUACCUGACUAAGAAGCGCCGGGUAACAACGUGCCAGCAUCCGCGGUGAUACGGAGGGGGCAAGCGGUAUUCGGAUUUACUGGGGGUAAAGGGAGCGUUGACGGGCCUGCAAGCCAGAUGUGAAAGCCAGGGGCUCAACCCCCGGACUGCAUUUGAAACUGUAAGGCUAGAGUGUCGGAGAGGCAGGCGGAAUUCCUAGUGUAGCGGUGAAAUGCGUAGAUAUUAGGCGGAACACCAGUGGCGAAGGCGGCCUGCUGGCCGAUGACUGACGUUGAGGCACGAAAGCGUGGGGAGCAAACAGGAUUAGAUACCCCAGUAGUC
rnacentral:rRNA from 1 species